rnacentral:rRNA from 1 species
CCUCUUGCCAUCAGAAUGUGCCCAGAUGGGAUUAGCUAGUAGGUGGGGUAAUGGCUCACCUAGGCGACGAUCCCUAGCUGGUCUGAGAGGAUGACCAGCCACACUGGAACUGAGACACGGUCCAGACUCCUACGGGAGGCAGCAGUGGGGAAUAUUGCACAAUGGGCGCAAGCCUGAUGCAGCCAUGCCGCGUGUAUGAAGAAGGCCUUCGGGUUGUAAAGUACUUUCAGCGAGGAGGAAGGCAUUAAGGUUAAUAACCUUAGUGAUUGACGUUACUCGCAGAAGAAGCACCGGCUAACUCCGUGCCAGCAGCCGCGGUAAUACGGAGGGUGCAAGCGUUAACGGGAUUACUCAA